ensembl:snoRNA
AGGCACAUUUUCACUCCCCAGUUCUCUCUCUGUGGGGACGUGGACAUGUCUGAUGUGCCAGAUCAAUCUCAGGCGGUCAAUUAGCAGAAUGGCUCCACUUUGCUUUCCCUGCCAGUCACCUUCUGACAAUA